GCAUAAAAUAAAUGUUUCAAAAUGUGAAAUGCUCAGGCUGACAAAAGUCAUUGUUGUUGGAGAUGUUGCUGUUGGGAAAACUUGUCUUGUCCGGCGGUUUUGUCUACAAGCGUUUGAUACAAACUACAAGUCAACUAUUAGGGUAGAUUUUGAAGCAGAA